rnacentral:lncRNA from 1 species
GAAACCCCUUGACAACAGGACAUAGACCAGACCCUGACUAGACGGAUGGAGAAAGAGGAAGCGCGUGGAGGAGGCCGGAGCGCAGCGGUGCGGUGGAGGCCGUUGCAGGUGGCGGAGCGGUUUCGCCCGGCGGGGGAUUUCUCUGUUCGCUCCCCUCACAGGCUGAAAGUGGGGCUUUCACCAGACGCAAGGCUUAGACUGCUUCCCAGUGGUGAGCUGAUAGCAGACCGCUCUGUGAUUGCCUCCCAGGAUCAGAGAACACACAGCACCCUGCCAGUCGGCUCAGCACCAGCACACGGGGCUCCGUGAUGUAGGAGACUUGUGGAGUCUCUAGAUUAAAGAGAAGACGACAGUUACUGUAAUACCGGUCUGAUCGCAAACACAAUAGAAGAAUCAAACAGCCGCCCAUCUGUCGUUAAAAGUGAGUGGCGAGAGACGCCCA